CUAGCCACGACUGCUCUUCUUCUCCCAAAGAACAUCCGAAUCCAACCCUAAUCCUGUCCAAAUCCAUGGCGAGUGAGCCUUAAAUCCACAACCCACGCGUGCCCCCAUCCCUCCUCUCAUCGUUCUAGUGGAUUUUCCUAUGCGAGAUUCCCUUCCCCUCUCACUCGCCCGAUUUUGAUCCAUCUCACGCGAUUGGAAGGUCCUAGAGAUGAUUCGUUGGAUGAAGGUGAGGCAUUGGAUUGAUUUCGUUCAAUCCGAGCCCUACAUUCAUCCGGGGUUCGUUUCAUAAAAGGACUCAAUCCGAUUUUUUGAGGGAGAGGAUUUUCGGAGAAGAGGUGAAAUUUUGAAAAUAGUCUUACUUCUUCUUCUAUACUGAAAUUGGAGUUGAGUUCGAGAAUAAGAAAAGAGAUAUAUAAAUAUGUUCAUGAUUCUUUGAUUUUUUGGUUUUGCAAUUACUUUCCAAAACAAAAAAUCAAAAGAUAUAUUCCAUCCUUUCCUUCUGGGUUGGAGGUGGUUUGAAAAGGGUGCUCGAUUGAGAGUCGCUGAGUUUGUUGUUGUCCGAGUUUUGAUUUCUACUCGAUUAUGUUGAUGGUUGUGCUGAUAUUAGCUAUUGUAUUUCAUUUGUACGCAAUGUUCGAGCACAGUUGAUCGGAAGUAUUUAUUGAUUCCAGUCAAUGGUAUUUACCAGGACAUGCUACGAAUGCUCGAAGAUAAGCGAUUCAAUGCUUGUUCUAAAGCAGUAGUUGGUCUAAACUUUGGCUAUCCAAGUACAAUUGAUUUAAAUUUCAGCAAUAGUUUCUUGAGGUUUGGUUCAUUCCUGUUGUGUUUGGCUUAGCUUAGUGUUGGUCUAAAGGGGUCGAAGCUCCAUUGUGUCAUUGUUUGUAUAUGCUCAGAUUUGCGCUAUUUGCCUUCUCCUGCUGGAAUCUAUCUGUAUUAUUACACCUAUAAGAACUUUGUUCUUUCGCACUGCCAAAAACAGUUGAUUCAAGCAAUGAAUCGUGCUGAAAUAUGCAGUAUUGUGGGAUAUCUAUUUGGAUUGUUAGCCUGCAGAAAAUCUGCCUUUGUUUCAUUUUUGUGACUCUCCUUCAGAUGCCGCUGUUAUUUUUCUUGUGUGUUCCUCCUUUCAAGGAUCGGCAGGCAGUCAUGAUUCACUCAAGAGUUUCAUAUGAUAUUCGAAAAUGCCUACUUGUCUAUCAUUUCCUUUUCAAAGUAAAUCUGCUUUCUUGUUGAAAAAUGCAUUAGUGUACUGUCCACUUGCUUCAGGACACAAGGAAAGUAUCAGUGGUAGUUUUUUUUGAAACACAAAGAGCCUUCAGUUCAUUUUGCAAUAUUGAUUGAUAAGUGAGUACAUUUGGUUUAUGGGAAGCUUUGGAAUGGUCUUGUAAAGGUUUAUUUCUCACACUACUUCUUGGUUGAGAUAUGAUUCAUGAACAUAUGAGUUUAUUUCUUA